rnacentral:sRNA from 1 species
UAGAAUUAAAAAAAUAGUUAAAGUAUUAACUAUUAAAAGUAUGAAAUUAGCUAAACUAAAGCUCAUAAAA